UUAAGCGACUAAGCGUACACGGUGGAUGCCCUGGCAGUCAGAGGCGAUGAAGGACGUGCUAAUCUGCGAUAAGCGUCGGUAAGGUGAUAUGAACCGUUAUAACCGGCGAUUUCCGAAUGGGGAAACCCAGUGUGAUUCGUCACACUAUCAUUAACUGAAUCCAUAGGUUAAUGAGGCGAACCGGGGGAACUGAAACAUCUAAGUACCCCGAGGAAAAGAAAUCAACCGAGAUUCCCCCAGUAGCGGCGAGCGAACGGGGAGCAGCCCAGAGCCUGAAUCAGUGUGUGUGUUAGUGGAAGCGUCUGGAAAGGCGCGCGAUACAGGGUGACAGCCCCGUACACAAAAAUGCACAUGCUGUGAGCUCGAUGAGUAGGGCGGGACACGUGGUAUCCUGUCUGAAUAUGGGGGGACCAUCCUCCAAGGCUAAAUACUCCUGACUGACCGAUAGUGAACCAGUACCGUGAGGGAAAGGCGAAAAGAACCCCGGCGAGGGGAGUGAAAAAGAACCUGAAACCGUGUACGUACAAGCAGUGGGAGCACGCUUAGGCGUGUGACUGCGUACCUUUUGUAUAAUGGGUCAGCGACUUAUAUUCUGUAGCAAGGUUAACCGAAUAGGGGAGCCGAAGGGAAACCGAGUCUUAACUGGGCGUUAAGUUGCAGGGUAUAGACCCGAAACCCGGUGAUCUAGCCAUGGGCAGGUUGAAGGUUGGGUAACACUAACUGGAGGACCGAACCGACUAAUGUUGAAAAAUUAGCGGAUGACUUGUGGCUGGGGGUGAAAGGCCAAUCAAACCGGGAGAUAGCUGGUUCUCCCCGAAAGCUAUUUAGGUAGCGCCUCGUGAAUUCAUCUCCGGGGGUAGAGCACUGUUUCGGCAAGGGGGUCAUCCCGACUUACCAACCCGAUGCAAACUGCGAAUACCGGAGAAUGUUAUCACGGGAGACACACGGCGGGUGCUAACGUCCGUCGUGAAGAGGGAAACAACCCAGACCGCCAGCUAAGGUCCCAAAGUCAUGGUUAAGUGGGAAACGAUGUGGGAAGGCCCAGACAGCCAGGAUGUUGGCUUAGAAGCAGCCAUCAUUUAAAGAAAGCGUAAUAGCUCACUGGUCGAGUCGGCCUGCGCGGAAGAUGUAACGGGGCUAAACCAUGCACCGAAGCUGCGGCAGC
rnacentral:rRNA from 1 species